GCGUCGCCGGGCCGGCCCGGACCGCGCGGUUCGCGCCGGCGCUGGCGACCCUGGGCGUCACCGGGCCGAUCCACGUCGUCGGCGACGUG
rnacentral:tRNA from 1 species